CCCUUAGAUGUUCUGGGCCGCACGCGCGCUACACUGAUGCAUUCAACGAGUCUAAAACCUGCUCUGAUAGGGGUGGGUAAUCUUUUGAAUGUGCAUCGUGAUUGGGAUAGAUGAUUGCAAUUUUUCAUCUUCAACGAGGAAUGCCUAGUAAACGCAAGUCAUCAGCUUGCAUUGAUUACGUCCCUGCCCUUUGUACACACCGCCCGUCGCUCCUACCGAUUGAAUGAUCCGAUGAAUAUCAUGGAUUGAGGAUGCAAGUAGGUUCGCCUAUCUUCAUCUUCGAGAAGUGAAGUAAAUCUUAUCAUUUAGAGGAAGGAGAAGUCGGAACA
rnacentral:rRNA from 1 species